CCUACGGGUGACAGCAGUGAGGAAUAUUGGUCAAUGGACGAGAGUCUGAACCAGCCAAGUAGCGUGAAGGAUGACUGCCCUAUGGGUUGUAAACUUCUUUUAUAUGGGAAUAAAACGUUCCACGUGUGGGAUUUUGUAUGUACCAUAUGAAUAAGGAUCGGCUAACUCCGUGCCAGCAGCCGCGGUAAUACGGAGGAUCCGAGCGUUAUCCGGAUUUAUUGGGUUUAAAGGGAGCGUAGGUGGAUUGUUAAGUCAGUUGUGAAAGUUUGCGGCUCAACCGUAAAAUUGCAGUUGAAACUGGCAGUCUUGAGUACAGUAGAGGUGGGCGGAAUGCGUGGUGUAGCGGUGAAAUGCUUAGAUAUCACGAAGAACUCCGAUUGCGAAGGCAGUUCACUGGACUGCAACUGACACUGAGGCUCGAAAGUGUGGGUAUCAAACAGGAUUAGAUACCCCUGUAGUC
rnacentral:rRNA from 1 species